CGCACACACACAAACACCCAGAUGCACAAAAGCAAUAAAGCUCAUUUGAUUUAUCAUAAUAUGCUUUAUCUCAAAAGUAAGUAUCUUAUCUCCAGAUAAAGAGAGGAAAGACAGAGCAAUCCGUUCAGUGGCGGUGCGGGAUGGAACAACAGCAGCAGCACUGCAGGGGUGUGAAUUGGAUGGGUCAGCAGGUAAACUUAACCAAAAAAGGUAAGAGAAGAAGAUGCACUGGAAGGAGAGGAGAGAGCGCACAACAGAGAACUCAGAGCUGCUGCACCUGAAGGAGGCACCUUGGGUUUACAUGGGAAUGGAUUAAAAACACACAGUUGGGGUCGCGUUAGUCCCAAACUGUUCUUGUGGAGCAGGUUGUUGCCAGUGAUGAAAGAAUCAUCCUCAGGAGUGAGUGUAUCAUACUGUACAUGUGUGACUGACAGGCACCUUUACAGGCUUAUAGGGUUCUGGCCUCGACGAGCUUUGUUGUUGUUUUAUUAGAUUGUUAAAUCAUGACUUAUUAAAGAGUAAUGUUUUACUUUUAGCUAUGUAAUCGUUCUGUUUUAUUUUCUUUUAGGGUGUUGGUGUUGUUGAAUAGUGAUGUUCUUUUUAUUAAACACUGCUAAUCUUUUCGGACUGAUUUAUGUUUGUUUAAAAUAGAAGUGGUGUUCAAACACUGCCCGCUUGAUGAUUGCAAUGUGCUCUCUGUUCAUCAGUGGGACAGCUCUUCCUACGGCUGCAACAACAAAUAGGGAAAUAGGGAAGAGGACUGAGCUGGUUUAAUCCCUACCCUUCCCCCCAAGACAGGACUUACAGAGACAUUUUCAGAGUGAAUCAAGUGAGCCAACGUCUAUAUAUGAAACUGAACAUUUUCUGAUUUGUGUGCUGAACGAGGCCUUAAAGCUCAGAAAGAUGGUAAAGAAGACAGAGACCAGGUAUCCAGGUGGAUGGAAGACGGGGAGAAAAGACCCACAUACAGAUGGAUGGGUGGAUGGAGGGGAAGUGAGAGGAAAAGCAGAAUGCACAAGACUGUAAAGCUAUUCUUCUAGGACCUCCGAAGUGGCAGGCGGCCACGAGUUUUCACGGCGUUCAAUAAAUGCAGCGAAGCGCCCGUCUUGAAGAAGCCGUGCCUGUGUUGUCAUUUCGGAGUUACACCAAGGAUUUGGGGUUUAAAAGCCACGGAGAUGCGGUGUUUAGAAAAAAAUGUGUCUCAACUGUUCCAAUAUUCCUGACACGUACAGGUUCACUACUAGUUUUCGCAGCGGUUGUCCUUCUCCCCUGGAUCGGCUGGAGCUUUCUUUAGGCACCUUCCCAGCUUUGACAAAUGUCCAGCUGGGAUAACCACAUUUACUCAGGGCCUUCUUGAUGUGAUGUUCUUCUGGUGUUCGCUCUGUGUUGUAGCGUCCUGAUGACACCCAGUUUAUGCUCCAGUGGAUGAUGAGAGUCAAACCUUAAAUACUGAUCCGUAUGCGUAGGUUUACGGUACACAUCAAUUUUUAAAUGUCCCCAAUUUCUGCUUCUAUGGAAGCCAACCUGCCACUUUUCAUAUCCUCCCUGGUGAAUUUGAGGUGUUGGUCCACUGAGCUGAGCUGGUUUCAGUCAUGCAAAUGUCCUGUUUAUAUGAUUGGGGAAACCUGCAGUUAGCUGAGACUGAAGAAGUCGAAACGUUUCUCCCACUGAAAACACUACGGCCAGAUGAACACAAUCAACCUUUUGGGAUUUACUUACCUGGAUGAUUGAGCACGUAUCAAGACAAAGCAAUACUGUAAAGAAUUAUUUUAGUUCGUUUUAUUAUUUCUGUCUAGUAUUAAAAUUUAUUUGAAAAUCUGAAUCAUGUAAGUGUGACAAAUAUGCAAGAAAA
ensembl:lncRNA